ensembl:lncRNA
GAGCCUCCUUGGGGUCUGUGGGCCAGUUGGGCCUGCUGGGGUAGCCACGGGGCUGGGCGGAUAGGGCCCUGGAUGCCCCGGAGAGGAGACAUUGGAGCUGAGGGAAAGGUCACCCACACCGUGCCUGGGCCCCUGACUACUCGGGUCACUGGGGUGGGGGCUCGUGCGGGAGGGCUGGGGAGCUGCAAGGGAUUCUCCACUGCAGCUGUGAUAAAGCCAGACCUGGGUUCUUCCUAGUGAGUGAAGGAGGCCCUUUACCUUGAGGACUGAGGGAUGAGGCCAGAGGAACGGGGUCCAGCCCUCAGAGGUCCUGCUGUGUCUCUGGCGCUGGUUUCUGUCCCUGUACAGCGGUUCCAUGGCACCCCGUCUCUGGGACUGUGAGAAUCCUCUGAGUAGUUCCCAAGCAGAUGCGGGGGCCGUAUCUGAGUCCCUGAAUCUGACUGUUCCCAGCCCUCUGCUGGGGCACUAGCUAGCUGUUUGGCCCACGUGCUGAGUCCCAUCUCUGCUCCCAGCCCAGGCUUGUGUACAGAGGUGCUCUAACAACAUCAGGCUCCAGCCCUUCCCAGCUGCGGAACCCAUCCCAUUCCUAUAAUCCUGUUGUGUGGUGGGGGAAACUGAGGCCCAAAGUCACAUUCAUUCAUUCAAAAAAUACGAGUGUCCGACUGUGCUGAGCUCUGCUGAGGGUACAGGACAACCUGGUGUGUGUCACAUACACACACACACACACACAUAAGGUUAUUGUGGAUCGUACUGAUAGAUGUGUAGCACAUAAAUUACCAGUAAUAAAACAUAGUACUCUUUAAAUUCUGUUUAGCCAGCUGUUUCUCACAGAAUGCUUUUAUUGAUUUUAGUUGUUGUUGAGUUCUUGUAUUUGUAGCUCACCUGUGGUGGUAAUUCAGCCACAAUAUGGUAAACGGAGCUGCAUCCCAUCUACCUGUAUUAGUUUCCUGUGGCUGCUGAAACAGAUCGCAACACGUCCGGGGGCUUAAAACAACAGACGUUUAUUUUCUCACAGUUUGAAGGUCAGAAAUCCAAAAUCACCACCACUGGGCUGGAAUCAGUGUGGCAAGGCCCAUGCUUGCGUCUGACAGCUCCCGGCGGCUGUAGACAUUCCUUGACUUGUGGCCACAUAAAUCUCGUCUCUGCCUCUGUGGCCACACGGCCUCCUCUUCUGUGUCCCAGAUCUCCUCUGCCUCUCCCUCAUUACAGCCUCCCUUGAUAACCAAAAAUAAUCUCCCCACGUAAAGAUCUUUAAUCACAUUGGCAAAGUUAAAAAAUGUUUAAAAUUUUUACAUUCCAGGGAUUGAGACCUGAUACCUUUGGGGGCCACUGUUCAGCCUACUACUACCCUGCUCUCUUCCCAGUAAGUUUGUCCUUAAAUUUGAUACAUGACCUACUGAUUACUCACUGAUGAACAGAUUGUUAGUGGGAUUGAAAUGUUUCAGCCUCAGUAUUAGUUUUAAAUUUAAUCUGCAUCGUUAAUAUUUUCUCCACCCACUUCUUAAGUCUAGACCUGUGCUGUCCAGUACAUAGCCACUGGAGCUCGGCUGUUUGUGCGCCUGAAGAAACGUGGCUGGUUUGAAUUGAGUUGUGCUUUAAGCGUAAAAUAACACACCAGAAUUUGAAGAGUUAGUACAAAAAAAAGAGUGUAAAAAAUAUCAUUAGUUACUUUAUAUUGAUGACAUGGAAAUGAUAAUAUUUUGGACAUACCUGGGUUAAAUAAAGUAUGCUAUUUAAUUUU